rnacentral:rRNA from 1 species
GAGACUCUGUGCGCGUGCAUAUCAAUAAGCGGAGGAAAAGAAACUAACAAGGAUUCCCUUAGUAACGGCGAGUGAAGCGGGAAGAGCUCAAAUUUGAAAUCUUCAAGGUUUUACCUUGACGAAUUGUAGUUUAAAGAAGCUGUUUUCUGUUGAAGUUUUGGUAAAAGUUCUUUGGAAUAGGACAUCAUAGAGGGUGAGAAUCCCGUAUUUGACCAUUAUUUUCAGCUGUGUGAUACACUUUCAAAGAGUCGGAUUGUUUGGGAAUGCAGUCCAAAAUGGGUGGUAAAUUUCAUCUAAAGCUAAAUAUUGGCGAGAGACCAAUAGCGAACAAGUACCGUGAGGGAAAGAUGAAAAGAACUUUGAAAAGAGAGUUAAACAGUACGUGAAAUUGUCAAAAGGGAAGCGUUUGACACCAGUGUUGUUUAGUUGAAAAUCAAUUCAAUAGUUUUUGAUUCUAAGUAGUAUCGACUUCAUCAGCUUGCUGCUUUCUUCUCAGAAAUUAUUGAAUGCACUUUUCAGUUAACAAGUCAACAUCAAUUUCUUUUGUUGUAAAAGGGUAAGAGGAAGGUGGCUUGCGCUUCGGCUCAAGUGUUUAUAGCCUUUUAUCUCUGCAAUCGGAGAGAUUGAGGUCUGCAGCGUAGAUCCUUCGGGGUUAGAUACAUUGGUGCUAAGCUAUAGCCUUGUAUAGACAACUUGUUGACUAUGCUCAGUCAUGUAGCUUACUCGCUGAUGCUAUUUUACCUACGCUUAGGAUGUUGAAUCUGUGCGAGACUAC